UCUCUGAUACAUUCUGGAUGCACCUGCAGGCCUCCUCUCAUUAUCUAUAGCUACAUGCAAAUGAAGAGGUCAAGUGUCAUCUAUCACUGGAAGAUAAGAGGCCAAUGAGACAGGAAUGUCACAGACCAUACUAUG